rnacentral:rRNA from 1 species
UGCGUAGGCGGAAUAUUAAGUCAGUGGUGAAAUCCUGCGGCUCAACCGUAGAACUGCCAUUGAUACUGAUAUUCUUGAGUGUAGUUGAGGUAGGCGGAAUGUGUAAUGUAGCGGUGAAAUGCUUAGAUAUUACACAGAACACCGAUUGCGAAGGCAGCUUACUAAACUAUGAUUGACGCUGAGGCACGAAAGCGUGGGGAGCGAACAGGAUUAGAUACCCUGGUAGUCC